UGGCAGCGAGGGGCAAGCAGGAAUUAGGGCCUCCAGACCUUCAGACAAGGCUACUUGCCGCUACCCUAAGCUGAACGCAGCCCAAAGGCUCAGAGGGGUCCUCGGGGCCUUCCUGCAUCCUCCAUCCAGGUUCCGGAGCUGGGGAGAAAGCGCCGCGCCUGAGCGGGUCUGAGUCCCACCAGCCCUCCCCGUCCAUCUGCCGCGCCCUGAGGUCGGACCCUCCCACGGAAGAGGCGGCAGAGAGCGACAGCCGACUGCAGAUACCUCUCGUUUCCUUCAGACCCUUCAAGGGGGAGCGGAACAAAACCAGGUCCCCCAAAGAAAGUGGCCUGGGGGAGAAGGUGGGUGACUGAGGAACAGGAUCCCUCAGCUGUGCUGCUCUCCUCAUUCCCGGGGCGCGGGGGCCUCCUGCUCCCUCCUCCAGAUUUCGGACAAUCGCUCCUGACUAGGCGAGUCACUGGGAGCCACGGUUUGCCAGAUACCUGGACUCUGUGACCUUAGCAGCAGACAGACCAAAGCAAGGCGGGAACUCUGUGAACAGUGUUGUUCGCUCAAAGGAGAGUCCGACAGAAGCAGGAGAUAUUCCCUGGAGCCCGUGGAGCCAGUGGGAGCUGCCGCCUUGGACUUCACUGGGCUCUGUGCUCCCUGGCUUGUGCAGGCCCCUCCCAGCACCAGCCAGGCACCCCGGCCUGGAGGCAAGGUUCCCCAAGGAGGAGUCCAGGAUCAGCCAUGGCAGGUCUGGCUUAGGUGCUUUAGUAAACACCCGGCCUGUGGACUGCUCUGGGGUCCAGACUGCGGAGCGUCCAGCCCGGGACAGGCUGGUUCACCUGCUGUUCACUGUUGGGAAUCAGGGCUCAUGGCUCCGCCCAGUGCAGCCCUAAAGCAGGUGAGGUGAAUCCUAGGAUCCUGGAAUUUCAGGAUGGGAACUGAGGCUCAGGGAGAGCACGCUGGCCAAGGACGCAGUGCUGCAGGCGUGAGGGCAGGGGAGGAAGACAUCACACACAAUAUGUUCAGCAUGUGCAGGCUUACCACCUGCACUUACUGCUUCAUUCUCACCAGAAUCCCCAGAAUCUGGAGCCCCAAGAACCACUGAAGAGUUUGGAACCUGUCCAGCAGGAAAGAGGGGCUCGCUGCAUGCUGGAUCCCACAGCCUGAUCUGUGUCCUGAUCCUAUCUCAGAGCACAGAUCCCUUCCUGGAUCCCCCAGUCUGUUCUGUGUCCUGAUCCUCUUCUCAGAGUACCGAUCCUGUCUGGAUCCCACACCUGGAUCUGUGUCCUGAUCUCAUCUCAGAGCACAGACUCUGUCCUGGAUCCCACACUCUGAUCUGUGUCCUGAUCCCAUCUCNCCCACAGCCUGAUCUGUGUCCUGAUCCUAUCUCAGAGCACAGAUCCCUUCCUGGAUCCCCCAGUCUGUUCUGUGUCCUGAUCCUCUUCUCAGAGUACCGAUCCUGUCUGGAUCCCACACCUGGAUCUGUGUCCUGAUCUCAUCUCAGAGCACAGACUCUGUCCUGGAUCUCACACUCUGAUCUGUGUCCUGAUCCCAUCUCAGAGCACAGACCCUGUCCUGGAUCCCACAUUUUGAUCUGUGUCCUCAUCCCAUCUCAGAGUAUAGAUCCCUUCCUGGAUCCCACACCUGGAUCUGUGUCCUGAUCUGAUCUCAGAGCACAGACUCUGUCCUGGAUCUCAUACUCUGAUUUGUGUCCUGAUCCCAUCUCAGAGCACAGACCCUGUCCUGGAUCCCCUACUCUAAUCUGUGUCCUGAUCCUCUUCUCAGAGUAUAGAUCCCCUCCUGGAUCCCACACCCUGAUCUGUCUCCUGAUCCCGCCUCAGAGCACAGAUUGCUUCCGGGGUCCCACACCCUGAUCUGUGUCCUGAAACUCCCCUCAGAGAGCAGCC
rnacentral:lncRNA from 1 species